rnacentral:rRNA from 1 species
AGCAGCCGCGGUAAUUCCAGCUCCAAUAGCGUAUAUUAAAGUUGCUGCAGUUAAAAAGCUCGUAGUUGAAUUUCGGGACCGAUAUAUCGGUCGUGCCUCGGUACGUACUGGUAUUUUUGGUUUCUCCCUUCUGACGAACCUUGAUGUCAUUAAUUUGGUGUCUUGGGGAAUCAGGACUGUUACUUUGAAAAAAUUAGAGUGUUUAAAGCAGGCUCACGCUUGAAUACAUUAGCAUGGAAUAAUGAAAUAGGACGUCUGAUUCUAUUUUGUUGGUUUCUAGGAUCGACGUAAUGAUUAAUAGGGAUAGUUGGGGGCAUUAGUAUUCAAUUGUCAGAGGUGAAAUUCUUGGAUUUAUUGAGGACUAACUACUGCGAAAGCAUUUGCCAAGGAUGUUUUCAUUAAUCAAGAACGAAAGUUAGGGGAUCGAGGACGAUCAGAUACCGUCGUAGUCUUAACCAUAAACUAUGCCGACUAGGGAUCGGAUGAUGUUAAUUUUUAAUGACUCAUUCGGCGCCUUAUG